CCUACGGGAGGCAGCAGUGAGGAAUAUUGGUCAAUGGGCGCGAGCCUGAACCAGCCAAGUCGCGUGAGGGAAGACGGUCCUAUGGAUUGUAAACCUCUUUUGUCGGGGAGCAAAAGACGCCACGCGUGGCGUUCCGAGAGUACCCGAAGAAAAAGCAUCGGCUAACUCCGUGCCAGCAGCCGCGGUAAUACGGAGGAUGCAAGCGUUAUCCGGAUUUAGUGGGUUUAAAGGGUGCUCAGGCGGAAGAGCAAGUCAGCGGUAAAAUUGAGAGGCUCAACCUCUUCGAGCCGUUGAAACUGGUUUUCUUGAGUGAGCGAGAAGUAUGCGGAAUGCGUGGUGUAGCGGUGAAAUGCAUAGAUAUCACGCAGAACUCCGAUUGCGAAGGCAGCAUACCGGCGCGCAACUGACGCUCAUGCACGAAAGCGUGGGUAUCGAACAGGAUUAGAUACCCGAGUAGUC
rnacentral:rRNA from 1 species